rnacentral:rRNA from 1 species
CCUACGGGAGGCAGCAGUAGGGAAUCUUGCGCAAUGGGCGAAAGCCUGACGCAGCGACGCCGCGUGAGCGAUGAAGGCCUUCGGGUUGUAAAGCUCUGUGGAGAGAGAAGAAUAAGUGCAAGCUAAUACCUUGCAUGAUGACGGUAUCUCUUUAGCAAGCACCGGCUAACUCUGUGCCAGCAGCCGCGGUAAGACAGAGGGUGCAAACGUUGUUCGGAAUCACUGGGCGUAAAGCGCGUGUAGGUGGCUUGGCAAGUCGGGCGUGAAAUCCCGGGGCUCAACCCCGGAAGUGCACUCGAAACUGCCUCGCUAGAGUCCUGGAGAGGAAGGUGGAAUACUUGGUGUAGAGGUGAAAUUCGUAGAUAUCAAGUAGAACACCGGUGGCGAAGGCGGCCUUCUGGACAGUGACUGACGCUGAGACGCGAAAGCGUGGGGAGCAA